rnacentral:rRNA from 1 species
AUUGAACGCUGGCGGCAUGUCUUACACAUGCAAGUCGAACGGUAACAGGUUAAGCUGACGAGAGGCGAACGGGUGAGUAAUAUAUCGGAACGUGCCCAGUCGUGGGGAUAACUGCUCGAAAGAGCAGCUAAUACCGCAUACGACCUGAGGGUGAAAGCGGGGGAUCGCAAGACCUCGCGCGAUUGGAGCGGCCGAUAUCAGAUUAGCUAGUUGGUGGGGUAAAAGCCUACCAAGGCAACGAUCUGUAGCUGGUCUGAGAGGACGACCAGCCACACUGGGACUGAGACACGGCCCAGACUCCUACGGGAGGCAGCAGUGGGGAAUUUUGGACAAUGGACGAAAGUCUGAUCCAGCCAUGCCGCGUGCGGGAAGAAGGCCUUCGGGUUGUAAACCGCUUUUGUCAGGGAAGAAAAGGUUCUGGUUAAUACCUGGGACUCAUGACGGUACCUGAAGAAUAAGCACCGGCUAACUACGUGCCAGCCGCCGCAGUAA